GGAUCAUUUCUAUAGUCUUUGACUUGAGAAAUAUCGUACGAAAGUGAUCGGUUACUCUAACCACGAUGAAGAGAACUGAUGUUCCCUUCUGAGCGC
rnacentral:snoRNA from 10 species